CUAAAACCUGAUGAGUUCUAUUACCGCCCCAGUCUGAUUAUCUGUGACUGAAUGGUAUCUUCUGAUUGC
ensembl:snoRNA SNORD31 Small nucleolar RNA SNORD31